rnacentral:misc_RNA from 1 species
UACGAAGGGGGCGAGCGUUGUCCGGAUUCAUUGGGCGUAAAGAGCUCGUAGGCGGUUUGGCAAGUCGGAUGUGAAAACUCCAGGCUCAACCUGGAGACGCCAUCCGAUACUGCUAUGACUUGAGUCUGGUAGGGGCCCACGGAAUUCCUGGUGUAGCGGUGAAAUGCGCAGAUAUCAGGAGGAACACCGGUGGCGCAGGCGGUGGGCUGGGCCAGAACUGACGCUGAGGAGCGAAAGCGUGGGGAGCAAACAGG